rnacentral:rRNA from 1 species
GAUGAACGCUAGCUACAGGCUUAACACAUGCAAGUCGAGGGGUAACAAGAGAAAAGCUUGCUUUUCUUGUUGACGACCGGCGCACGGGUGAGUAACGCGUAUCCAACCUGCCUAUAACUAGGGAAUAACCUUGCGAAAGUAAGACUAAUACCCUAUGAUUUCCUUUGAUGACAUCAGAUUAGGAAUAAAGAUUUAUCGGUUAUAGAUGGGGAUGCGUCUGAUUAGCUUGUUGGCGGGGUAACGGCCCACCAAGGCAACGAUCAGUAGGGGUACUGAGAGGAAGGUCCCCCACAUUGGAACUGAGACACGGUCCAAACUCCUACGGGAGGCAGCAGUGAGGAAUAUUGGUCAUGGGCGGAAGCCUGAACCAGCCAAGUAGCGUGCAGGAUGACGGCCCUAUGGGUUGUAAACUGCUUUUAUACAGGAAUAAAGUUAGCCACGUGUGGUUAUUUGUAGGUACUGUAUGAAUAAGGACCGGCUAAUUCCGUGCCAGCCGCCGCGGUAA